rnacentral:rRNA from 1 species
UGCGCGGCUUAACACAUGCAAGUCGAGCGGAGAGAGGUAGCUUGCUACUGAUCUUAGCGGCGGACGGGUGAGUAAUGCUUAGGAAUCUGCCUAUUAGUGGGGGACAACAUUUCGAAAGGAAUGCUAAUACCGCAUACGUCCUACGGGAGAAAGCAGGGGAUCUUCGGACCUUGCGCUAAUAGAUGAGCCUAAGUCGGAUUAGCUAGUUGGUGGGGUAAAGGCCUACCAAGGCGACGAUCUGUAGCGGGUCUGAGAGGAUGAUCCGCCACACUGGGACUGAGACACGGCCCAGACUCCUACGGGAGGCAGCAGUGGGGAAUAUUGGACAAUGGGCGCAAGCCUGAUCCAGCCAUGCCGCGUGUGUGAAGAAGGCCUUAUGGUUGUAAAGCACUUUAAGCGAGGAGGAGGCUACUUUAGAUAAUACCUAGAGAUAGUGGACGUUACUCGCAGAAUAAGCACCGGCUAACUCUGUGCCAGCAGCCGCGGUAAUACAGAGGGUGCAAGCGUUAAUCGGAUUUACUGGGCGUAAAGCGCGCGUAGGCGGCUAAUUAAGUCAAAUGUGAAAUCCCCGAGCUUAACUUGGGAAUUGCAUUCGAUACUGGUUAGCUAGAGUGUGGGAGAGGAUGGUAGAAUUCCAGGUGUAGCGGUGAAAUGCGUAGAGAUCUGGAGGAAUACCGAUGGCGAAGGCAGCCAUCUGGCCUAACACUGACGCUGAGGUGCGAAAGCAUGGGGAGCAAACAGGAUUAGAUACCCUGGUA